rnacentral:rRNA from 1 species
UNUGACUUGAGUGCAGAAGGGGAGAGUGGAAUUCCAUGUGUAGCGGUGAAAUGCGUAGAUAUAUGGAGGAACACCAGUGGCGAAAGCGGCUCUCUGGUCUGUCACUGACGCUGAGGCUCGAAAGCGUGGGUAGCGAACAGGAUUAGAUACCCUGGUAGUCCACGCCGUAAAUGAUGAGUGCUAGGUGUUAGGCCCUUUCCGGGGCUUAGUGCCGGAGCUAACGCAAUAAGCACUCCGCCUGGGGAGUACGACCGCAAGGUUGAAACUCAAAGGAAUUGACGGGGGCCCGCACAAGCGGUGGAGCAUGUGGUUUAAUUCGAAGCAACGCGAAGAACCUUACCAGGUCUUGACAUCCCGAUGCUAUUCUUAGAGAUAGGAAGUUACUUCGGUACAUCGGAGACAGGUGGUGCAUGGUUGUCGUCAGCUCGUGUCGUGAGAUGUUGGGUUAAGUCCCGCAACGAGCGCAACCCUUAUUGUUAGUUGCCAUCAUUAAGUUGGGCACUCUAGCGAGACUGCCGGUAAUAAACCGGAGGAAGGUGGGGAUGACGUCAAAUCAUCAUGCCCCUUAUGACCUGGGCUACACACGUGCUACAAUGGUCGGUACAACGAGUUGCGAGCCGGUGACGGCAAGCUAAUCUCUGAAAGCCGAUCUCAGUUCGGAUUGGAGGCUGCAACUCGCCUCCAUGAAGUCGGAAUCGCUAGUAAUCGCGGAUCAGCACGCCGCGGUGAAUACGUUCCCGGGCCUUGUACACACCGCCCGUCACACCACGAGAGUUUGUAACACCCGGAGUCGGUGAGGUAACC